ensembl:lncRNA
GCCCGAGAAGUCCGCAGGAAUGGGUGUGAGCCUCUCCAUCUGUCUCCACUCCCGGAGAAGCUGUUCUGCCCCCGCAGGCAGGCCCACUCCCACCAUGGUCUCUCAUUUCAUUUUUCUGCAUCGUGGAGGCUGGUCAUGGAAAAGAAAAUGCCCAUUUCACCCAUUUCUCUACCUCCUGGUAGGGCCCAGAGGUAAAUAUACAUGUAUCACUCCCCACUCCAAGACCUCAGUUCCUGUGGGCCAGGGCCUGGCAGUCUGCACUUUUGACAAGCUUCCUAGGUGAUUCUGAUGACUUCUCAAGUUCAAGAACUGGCUAUCACUGUCCAAAGUUAUUUUGCAGCAUGAGGAAGGAGACAGUAACUCGCCCAAGGUCACCCAGUUUAUUAAUGGCAGGCCCAGAAAUAGAAAACAGGUCCCCAGGCCUGUGAUUUUUCUCUACAUCAUUAGUAUUCACCUUGGUGGGUACCCGUCUCAGUGGGCCUGGCCGUCAGAGACCCAGAGGCGAGCUGGGGACCUGGCUCAGUUGAGGGAGGCCAGGGGACCCCUCCUGUCACGGGCGCAGAGCGCGUGUAACUGCAGCGGGCUUACAACACCCACGGUUUGUGCAGAGCUGCUGCUCGCGCUGCCCUGCCAGCAGCAGUGCCUGAGAUGUUUUCUCAGAAGGGGAGCCACCCAGAGCCCCCUGAACAUUCAGGCCUUCAGCAUCUACUGAGCGCCUACCAGUUGCAGGCACUGUUCUGAGGGCUGGGAUACAAAGAGGACUAAGCCCUAGCCUCGUGGGGCUUACAGUCUAUGAGGACGGUAGGUACUGGUGAUAGAGAAGCCUCGUUAACUUCAUGGAGGUAGACAGAGGUCUAUACAGAUGCUGUGGUGGUCGCUUGUCAAGUUGACGGAGUGCACGCCCCGUGCGCUAGCAGUUCCUGCCGGGUCUGUGGCCAAGGGCCGCCUGCACCGUAAGAACCCGCACCAGGAGUCGUGCAAGAGUGGUCGACGCAGUUUUGUUCCUACUUCAAAUCACUGGCACAACAGACACCACAAGCAUAUCCACACGAUGAAAAUGAAUGAAUGAAUUGUGGUAACAGAACAACACGGGUAAAUUUUGGAAACAGUAAAGCAAGCGCAUCUCAGAGGACUUCGUACCAUAUGAUGCCAUUAUUCUAAAGUUCAGAAUCAAGUAAUACGUUGCCUACACGUAUGUGUAUGUCGAGCGAUCAUAAGAUUUAUGGGAUGUCUUUGAGAAUGUGAAGGGACACUUAACGCCUUACAUUUGGACCACAAAUGUAAACUGGCACUUCUUUGAGCAAACUGGUACACGUUGACGCCUUUGAUGUAUGUAAUAAAAUACAAAACCAAAACAAAGGGAUGAUAAACACAGAAGUCUGGAUGGUGGUCACCUCCAGAGGGAGCAGGAAACCCUUUGGGGCUGGGGUAAGGAAGGAUGUCAGUUACUGGGAAUGUCCCGGGACUCAGUCUGGGAGGUGGGUUUAUAGAUGUUUAUUAGUAAGGUGGCAUGGGAGCUCAAAGGAGAGAAAGUGAAUUUUUCCUGCGAGUUAAGUGGAGUUAUGGUCAGAGAAACCUAAAAAAGGAGCACUUCACUCUGCCAGGGAAGGUUUCAAGGACAAAGUGACAGCUUCUGCAGUUUACCAGGUAGAGAGUGGGU